AACGAACGCUGGCGGCAUGCCUAACACAUGCAAGUCGAACGAGACCUUCGGGUCUAGUGGCGCACGGGUGCGUAACGCGUGGGAACCUGCCCUUAGGUUCGGCAUAACUCCCCGAAAGGGGUGCUAAUACCGGAUAAUGUCUUCGGACCAAAGAUUUAUCGCCUUUGGAUGGGCCCGCGUUGGAUUAGCUAGUUGGUAGGGUAAAAGCCUACCAAGGCGACGAUCCAUAGCUGGUCUGAGAGGAUGAGCAGCCACACUGGGACUGAGACGCGGCCCAGACUCCUACGGGAGGCAGCAGUGGGGAAUAUUGGACAAGGGGCGAAAGCCUGAUCCAGCAAUGCCGCGUGAGUGAUGAAGGCCUUAGGGUUGUAAAGCUCUUUUACCCGGGAUGAUAAUGACAGUACCGGGAGAAUAAGCUCCGGCUAACUCCGUG
rnacentral:rRNA from 1 species